rnacentral:rRNA from 1 species
UACGUAGGUGGCAAGCGUUGUCCGGAAUUACUGGGCGUAAAGUGUGCGCAGGCGGCCGAGCAAGUCGAGUGUGAAAGCCCCGGGCUCAACCUGGGAACCGCGCUUGAGACUGGCACGCUCGAGUUCGGGAGAGGAUGGUGGAAUUCCCAGUGUAGAGGUGAAAUUCGUAGAUAUUGGGAAGAACACCGAUGGCGAAGGCAGCCAUCUGGACCGACACUGACGCUGAGGCGCGAAAGCGUGGGGAGCAAACAGG